rnacentral:lncRNA from 1 species
AAAUAGUUCGGAACGGAAAAAGCCCAUUAGGCCCGCGAGCCCGGCCCAUUUAGCCCGCGACCAUGUGGGCUUAGGACUGUCGUGGGCCGGUUCCACCCAUUGGGACCAUUUGGGCCGGCUCACCAAGCCCAGCCCUUCUAAAGAUCGGAACCGUUUGGGCCAGCCUGUUUAGGCCCGGACCCGGCCCAGAAUACAGUCUUAUAAUAAAGUAGUUUUCGUUGAUGCUUACAAUUACUAGUUAUGAUAAGAUCUGUCAUUUAGAGCUCUGUGGUUGUCCCAAAGGACUUCGGGCAUACCAAUUUAAAUGCGUUAAUGUUGCGAGUUGCAAGGCUUCUAUGUGUGAAGUUUGAUGAGUUUAAUUUCAAGUAUAGCGUACUUACAGAUUUAUGUCUGGUCUAUUUACCUUGGAUUAAAGUUUUCUUUGUGUAUUUCUUUGAUUGGUUUCAGUUCUUCCUAAAAAUACUGCUCUGGCAAACUUACUAAAAUAAGCUUGAAAUACAUUAACUGGUAUUGAUGAGAGAACAAUAAAAGAAUAAAUAAAUUUUCACAAAUAGUAGUUUCUUUCGUUAAUUGACUUAGCUUGUUCUGAUACUCCAUUUAUCGUUGGCUCUUACUGCUGCGUAAAAAGUUCCAAGUUGAUGUAUCUUGUUCCUUUUCUCAAACACUGAUUCAAAUAUAAAUUUUUGUAGAUGUUAAUUCACGAAUGAAGGAAGAUAUGAAAGCACGUUUCGAUUCUACAACAACGAAUAAAGGGUGUGUAUGAUAUGAAAGAAAAUAUUGUUGAAAUUUUCGAUGCUUGGUUAGUUUAAAUGUUUUGAAAAACUGUAUUCUCA